rnacentral:ncRNA from 1 species
AUAAAGGCUAAGAAGAGAAGAGUAAAUAAAGUAAUUCAUUUUAAGAGAGCUCUGAAUGGUGGAAUAGAGCAAUGAAUUUUUAGUGAAGAAGAUCUUGGAGCUGCACGCUGAGUCUAUAUGAUAGAGGUAGGAUGUGACGGGAUAUCCCGUUAUAGAUAUAAAGUAUCUCAUUGCAUUGAUGUACUUGAAGAGGUGUAUGCGGCAACACAUGCACAAACUGAGGUGGUACCACGAAUUUAUAACUUUCGUCCUCAAG